GGGGUGACGCAAUGACGCUGCUACACUGAUGAUGGACGAGGCAGCUCGGACGUUUGUUUCGGAUGAAUCGCCUGAACGGCCUCGAGUGUGACGCCCAAGUCAUGGGAAAUAUAUCAGGUUUUCAAAAUAAAUGACCAGUCAAAGUGGUCCUUGAGAGGUUCCAUUGAAGAAAAAAAAAACACAUGGCAAAAUAUUCAAAUCCCUGGCAAUUUUCACAGAAACUGAAUUUUGAUUUGAUGAAUUGGUGUGCAGUAUUUUCACUGCAAAUUGUACAAGAAAGUGGCACAAGAUUAUCACGUAUUGACGGCACUGAUUCGAAACAUAAUGUUCAGAAUACCAUACUGCUUUAUCUUUGGUGCAAAAUAUCAAAUAUAUUGCGACUCAUUUCCUUUAAACAAUUUCAGUGUUUUGCCACUUUCUUCUAAUGU